GGUGGUGUAGCGUUAAGCACUUGGCUGCUAACCAAAAGGUUGGUGGUUCAAACUCACCCAGCAGCU
rnacentral:tRNA from 1 species